CGUCUCGCUUGUUCUCCUCCUUCUCCUCCUUCCUCAACACGCUCCUUCUCCUCUUCUUUUGUAUAAGCCUUGAUCGAGCUUAUUUAAGUGUUAUUUUCUCUCGAGAGCUCUUUUCCGAUCUGGUGCCCUGCUAUCGGAACCCUUUCGCUUUAACGCACCGCUCUCCUCCUCGGCUAGGGCUCCGGCGAUCCGGAGAUCUCCGUCUCGAUCUCCGCCGGCGUCUCCCUCGUCGGGUCCCCGUUCCUUCUACCGAUCGGAUAUCGGCUUGCUGUCUUAAUCGCCGGCUUGAUCGCUAGCUUGCCGUCGGAGAAAAGCUCGUCGGCGGGCGAUCGAGGUCGCGCUCCUCUACUUCCUGGUUACUGGUAUUAGUGAAAAAACUGCCAGCAGCUUUUUGGGCACCUGAGAGUCAAGAAAUUGCAUAGAAAGCACCAGCAGCUUUGGAGCACAAGCUUGCAAAAGGAGAUUUUUGGAGCAAGAACUUGCUGAAGAAGAAAUUUAAGGUUUAACACCCAUUUAUAAUUUACUAUGAUUAAAUCUUGAUGCUGCAUGUAUUUACUUAUUGAUGCAAAGCUAGUUUAUAUAUGAAAACUUAACACUCUUUUUUGAGUGAGAGAAAUUCUCCAGAUUUUUGAGUGGCUGAAAAGAUGAGUGUUUCUUAUGGGAAUAACUUUGAGGUGCCGUCCCUAUUCCGGGUUUUGUGAAUGUAUACUUUUUCUCCAGAUUUUUGGUUCUCUGCCAUAACAUGGUAUGACUUUUAACAAUGUGCGGUGAAAUUCUUACAAAUUCUAGCUUUUAAAGGUUAUGUUUUCCUCUUUGGAGUUUCAGUUAAUUUUCGGCCAUUGCAGCAAUUUCAAUGAAUAUUUUUUUAUUCUUUUUCCUCCCUUCUGGGAUCUGUGCAUGUCAGACUGAUUCAUUUUUUUUUUUCCAAAGCAGAGCUUUCUAUAUCAGUUGUGCAAAGGAGUUGCCCAUUGUCAUAGCCAUGGUGUGCUUCACAGGGAUUUGAAACCUCAAAAUCUUUUGGUUGACAAAGAGAAAGGCAUCUUGAAGAUUGCUGAUCUUGGGCUAGGAAGAACCUUUACCAUCCCUCUUAAGAGCUACACCCACGAGAUUGUCACACUUUGGUAUAGAGCUCCUGAGGUUCUGCUGGGAACCACACACUACUCAACUGGAGUUGAUAUGUGGUCAGUUGGAUGAAUAUUUGGAUGAAUAUGUGGUCAACAUCUCCCCGGAAUCAUCGUCUGUCGGGGAGUCAAUUUGCUCUCUUCAUUUUGCUGCAAGGGUUAAUUCAUGUGAGAUUGGGAUUCCCGUCGCCAGACCUAGAUGCGUCCUUCAGACUCGCGCUUGAGCUAUGGUUAAGCAACCUGGCAACUACUGUGCAUCCUCUUGCUCCAUAUGAUUACCCGUUGCUGCAGCCGUUAUGGCAUAUUUAAUGACUAUUAGGCUUCUAACAUUGUCUGUCUGUAACCAAUACCAAGGAAAUGAAAUCAAUGUUGUGUUGUUGUUGAAUUUGUAGAGGGAAGGCAUUAUGUUGAUUGUGGUAAUAUUCGUAUCAAAAUUCCUUCUCACUGACGUUAUCUCUCUUAUAAUUGAAUCAAAUUUUUACAUGAACGAUUCCAAAAUCAA